rnacentral:lncRNA from 1 species
AUGAUCUUUGGGCAAACCUGAUGUGAAAGAUUUUAGAGCAAAAAGAAGGUUUAGAAUCUAAAGCCAUAAAACUCCUAUUGGUUCAUUACUCUCACCAUUUAAUUUCAACAGGAAGGAAUUACAGAUGGGUGCUAGAAGAGCUAAUGUUGAAGAUGGCUUUGGAAAUGAAGUGCCAGCAUUGGAACCAAACUAAGAAUUAGUUACUAAGAAUUGUAACUGACUAUAAAGCUUUAGUCAUUUUUUUUUAAAGAAAGUCCGGAUGUUAUCAAGACAUUGUGCCUAGUGAGUCGUGCAAUUUUUUAAUAUUCUCACCUACUCUGGAUGAUGACAAGUUCUUGGACUGGAAAACAUAUCAGAAAAUGUACUACCUUAAAGUUUGUGUGUGUGUAUAUAUAUAUAUAUAUAUAUAUAUAUAUAUACACACACACACAUAGAUAUAGGUAUAGAUAUAGAAUCUAUAUAGAUAAAUAGAUACAUAUAUACAUGUAUAUAUAUAUAUACAUGUAAAUAUAUAAACAAUAUAUGUAUUUAUUUAGACACAUUUUAAAGGUUUGCAAAGUGCUUUAUAUAUUUCAUUUUAUCCUCUCAACAUCUCUGGAAGGUAGAUUCUAUUACUCUCAUUUCACAGAUGAGGUAAAUAGAGGAUAAGUAAUUUUCUCAAUGUCACAAUAUUUAAAGAUGGAUUUGAACUCAGGUCUUCUUGAAUCUAAAUCUUCUUGACUCUCUAUCCAUUGUACCGCUUAGUUUGGGGAGGACAAGCAGAGUCAUUACCUGUCCCCCAUGGAUUUGUACAGCAGUGAGAGGAAAUGUGAGAGGCCUCAGCUUCCACAUUAUCAGGAAGAGGUCCUGUUCAUCAUGAAGAUGCACACCAAGGGAAGGUGAAAACCAGCAGCAAUGUGUGAUGUCAUAUACAUAUAUACAUAGCUGGUACCAAUGAACGAAAUCUCUCUAACAGAAGCCAUAGGGGUAUCUUCAGUCAUUGGUUAUCACUCUGUCAUUAAGGAAUUAGGCACAAUCUAAAAACAAUCUGCCCCCUUCCCCCCCACCCCCCUGCAAUGUUCUACUUGAUUCUACUCUAGAAAUUUUACUUGAUUCUGCAUUCCAGCUUAACAUCUGUUUCACUGCUGGCAGGACGGUAUAUUUUUAAAAGAGAUUUUUCACCUGCAUGAGCUCCCAUUAAUUGCCAUAGGUACUUGUCCAAAGCAAAUUACAACCAAAUUUUAGAAAGGAUUUCAAAAAAAUGAUUAGGAGAACACAAAGAAUGUGCAAAUUAAGAGAUUAACAGUUUCUACACCAUGAGAUACCAUGUCUACAAUAGGCUAGAUCCUGUUGAUGCCAUGUCAAUUAGCUAAAAACAACUUGGCUCUUUAUGCACUUGGCUCUUAAAAACUCUUAAUUUACUCAAAUUUAUAAGAAUACAAGCCAUUUUGCAAUUGAUAAAUGGUCAAAGGAUAUGAACAGACAGUCAGAUGAAGAAAUUAAAAUUAUUUCUAGUCAUAUGGAAAAAUACUCUAAAUCACUAUUGAUCAGAGAAAUGUAAUUUGAGACACUCUGAAGUACUACACUACAUACUUCUCAGGUUGACAAAAAGAUAGGAAAAGAUAAUAAUGAAUGUUAGAGGGAACAUGGGAAAACUGGGACACUGAUACAUUGUUGGUGGAGUUGUGAACUGAUUCAACCACUCUGGAGAGCAAUAUGGAACUAUGUCCAAAGGGCUAUCAAACUGUGCAUACCUUGUGAUCCUCCAGUGUCUCUCCUGGGUCUGUAUUGCCAAGAGAUCAUAAAAAAGGGGAAAAAAAGACUCAGAUGUGCAAAGCUGAAGUAAUCCUUUUUGUAGUGGCAGGGAACUGGAAACUGAGUAGAUAGAUACCCAUCAGUUGGAGAAAGGCUGAAUAAGUUAUGGUAUAUGAAUGUUAUGGAAUAUUAUUGUUCUAUAAGAAAUAAUCAGGAGGAUGAUUUCAGAACGGCCUGGAGAGACUUACAUGAACUGAUGCUGAGUGAAAUGAGCAGAAUGAAGAGAACAUUGAACACAGCAACAACAAGAUUAUACAAUGAUCAGUUCUGAUGGACGUGGUUCUUUUCAACAGCAAAGUGAUUCAGACCAGUUCUAGUAGUCUUAUGAUGUAGAGAGCCAUCAGAGAGAAGACUGUGGGGACUGAGUGUGGAUCACAACAUAUAAUUUUCAAUUUUUUUGUUGUUGUUUGCUUGUAUUUUGUUUUCCUUCUAAUUUUUUCCCUUUUUGAUCUGAUUUUUCUUAUGCAGUAUAAUUGUGGAAAUAUAUAUGGAAGAAUUGCACAUGUUUUAACAUAUAUUGGAUUACUUGAUGUCUGGAGUAGGAGGUGGGGG